rnacentral:rRNA from 1 species
UAGGGAAUCUUCCGCAAUGGGCGAAAGCCUGACGGAGCAACGCCGCGUGAGUGAUGAAGGUCUUCGGAUCGUAAAACUCUGUUAUUAGGGAAGAACAAAUGUGUAAGUAACUAUGCACGUCUUGACGGUACCUAAUCAGAAAGCCACGGCUAACUACGUGCCAGCAGCCGCGGUAAUACGUAGGUGGCAAGCGUUAUCCGGAAUUAUUGGGCGUAAAGCGCGCGUAGGCGGUUUUUUAAGUCUGAUGUGAAAGCCCACGGCUCAACCGUGGAGGGUUAUUGGAAACUGGAAAACUUGAGUGCAGAAGAGGAAAGUGGAAUUCCAUGUGUAGCAGUGAAAUGCGCAGAGAUAUGGAGGAACACCAGUGGCGAAGGCGACUUUCUGGUCUGUAACUGACGCUGAUGUGCGAAAGCGUGGGGAUCAAACAGG